rnacentral:pre_miRNA from 1 species
AAUAGAUGAUGCCGUUGACUUUUUCUCACAUGUUUGACCAUUCAUCUUAUUCAAAAAAUUUACGUAAUUAUAAUUUAUUUUGUUAUGAGUUGUUUUAUCACUACUAGUACUUUAAGUGUGAUUUAUAUCUUAUACAUUUGCAUAAAAUUUUUGAACAAGACGAAUAAUCAAACAUGUGAGAAAAAGUUAACGGCGUCAUCUAUU